rnacentral:sRNA from 1 species
UCCCAUCCAAGUACUAACCAGGCCCAACCUUGCUUAACUUCUAAGAUCAGAGGAGAUCAGGCAUGUUCAGGGUGGUAUGGCUGUAGAC